GGGCGCUUACAAAAACAUGCCAGCGACGUCUGCGGGGCGAACGUGCGCCGCCGAGGGAACUUCUCAAGAUCGGUUUUAUUAUAGCGUUUGGUGUGGAAACGGCAGUGCUUUCGGGCGAGUGGCGAGUUCUAGAGCUCCUGUUACGGCUAACUCUAGGCGUCGCACGCACGGGGCACGUAAGGCCAUGUACGGCCAGACGCUAUGAUGGACGGGCGUGGGCGGUUCCCCUGUGUGAACCUUGGUCUUCCUCCAACAAUCUUUGCAGUGAUUAAAUUCUCAACUCCCUUGGGCGGCGCGCAACGGCGGGUGUAGCAUUGGCCUUGCAAAGAAGGCAUCGGCGUCGUCGCACGACAUCUAAUGUCGGGCGGCGGGGUGGAUGUCGGGCGUGCAUUUCCGGAGCUAUUCACGUACGGCGCAUGAGUGGUAUUGGGCAUGUGUGGUUAGGUUGGAUCCCUGCUUCGAGCAGCGACGUCCUAACUCGCAUGCCAACUCGGUGACGGAUGAAGCGCAAUCUAGGCUGGUCGGACGUCGGAACUUCCUGUGCUGCAUACCUACUGCCUAGGCAUUGUGCACGUGCAAACGGUCGCCUUUCGCCCCUCGCAUCCCAUGCGCGGGGUGAACCCAAAAGACGCUCUCGCGUCCCACGCCUUCCCUCGCUUCGUCGUGCGAUGGCGUGGUCCGUGAGCGGCGCCUCGAAUUCUCGGAUACGGUAGACGCAGUGGGCAUGGGGCCUUCACCGGCUUCUAUCUGCCCAAAACGAAUGCUCCUUGCGAAUGACUGCCGCGCUCGCCUUGGACCCGACCGUGCCCGAAAGGGCGCGCCGGGCUCAUGCGGUGCGCGGCGUCGUUGAGGAAUGC
rnacentral:misc_RNA from 1 species